rnacentral:lncRNA from 1 species
AGAAGAGACAGCUAAGACGCCUUCGCUGUUGGAAUGUGUCAGCACGCAUGCGCUGGAGCCUCACGGGCUGUUUUCUCGUAGAGCCGCACACUUUGAGAGGAAUGUCUUUAUUUAAGCUGUGACCUGGCCAAGCCACCAAGAUCAAGCCCUGCAGUUUGGCUGGCGUGCUGGGGCUGUCAUGUGAUAUCCGUUGACUCAGAGACUGUUGGGCAAUCAAUAGCUGCUAAAUCAGUCCUGCUGAAUGAAACUCCAGUGUAAAGCUACUGACAUCAACACUCAAGUGACAUCCCCCCGGGGUAGUGAUGCUCCACCAUGAUGGUCACACACCAGCGCAGCAGCACUUGACAACGGUUCUACCACUCUUUUCAGAAAAGAUUUUGCCACCCUCAUCACCAGGAAUCCCACUGAGGACUUCAAACAUCCAGCUCACAGUAGGCUGCAGCCAUCCAGGGGAGUUUCAUAGCAGCCUAUCUCUCAGAGUGCAUUGGGAGGAAAUUAGAUCUACACGUUUCCUCUGGCAUGGUGCAGUCUCCUGAUUUCCUGUGGGGCAAUAACUGAAUAAAAG